rnacentral:rRNA from 1 species
UACGGAGGGUGCAAGCGUUGUUCGGAUUUACUGGGCGUAAAGGGCGUGUAGGCGGUUGGCUAAGUCAGAUGUGAAAGCCCUUGGCUUAACCAAGGAAGAGCAUUUGAAACUAGCUAACUAGAGUACAGGAGAGGAAAGUGGAAUUCCCAGUGUAGAGGUGAAAUUCAUAGAUAUUGGGAGGAACACCGGUAGCGAAGGCGGCUUUCUGGUCUGAUACUGACGCUGAGACGCGAAAGCGUGGGGAGCAAACAGG